AGAGUUUGAUCCUGGCUCAGGAUGAACGCUGGCGGCGUGCCUAAUACAUGCAAGUCGAACGCUUCACUUCGGUGAAGAGUGGCGAACGGGUGAGUAAUACAUAAGUAACCUGGCAUCUACAGGGGGAUAACUGAUGGAAACGUCAGCUAAGACCGCAUAGGUGUAGAGAUCGCAUGAACUCUAUAUGAAAAGUGCUACGGGACUGGUAGAUGAUGGACUUAUGGCGCAUUAGCUGGUUGGUAGGGUAACGGCCUACCAAGGCGACGAUGCGUAGCCGACCUGAGAGGGUGACCGGCCACACUGGGACUGAGACACGGCCCAGACUCCUACGGGAGGCAGCAGUAGGGAAUUUUCGGCAAUGGGGGAAACCCUGACCCAGCAACGCCGCGUGAAGGAAGAAGUAAUUCGUUAUGUAAACUUCUGUCAUAGAGGAAGAACGGUGGAUAUAGGGAAUGAUAUCCAAGUGACGGUACUCUAUAAGAAAGCCACGGCUAACUACGUGCCAGCAGCCGCGGUAAUACGUAGGUGGCGAGCGUUAUCCGGAAUUAUUGGGCGUAAAGAGGGAGCAGGCGGCACUAAGGGUCUGUGGUGAAAGAUCGAAGCUUAACUUCGGUAAGCCAUGGAAACCGUAGAGCUAGAGUGUGUGAGAGGAUCGUGGAAUUCCAUGUGUAGCGGUGAAAUGCGUAGAUAUAUGGAGGAACACCAGUGGCGAAGGCGACGAUCUGGCGCAUAACUGACGCUCAGUCCCGAAAGCGUGGGGAGCAAAUAGGAUUAGAUACCCUAGUAGUCCACGCCGUAAACGAUGAGAACUAAGUGUUGGGGAAACUCAGUGCUGCAGUUAACGCAAUAAGUUCUCCG
rnacentral:rRNA from 1 species